rnacentral:rRNA from 1 species
CAGCCGCCACGGGAAUACGUAGGGUGCAAGCGUUAAUCGGAAUUACUGGGCGUAAAGCGUGCGCAGGCGGUUUGUUAAGACAGAUGUGAAAUCCCCGGGCUCAACCUGGGAACUGCAUUUGUGACUGGCAAGCUAGAGUGUGGCAGAGGGGGGUGGAAUUCCGUGUGUAGCAGUGAAAUGCGUAGAUAUGCGGAGGAACACCGAUGGCGAAGGCAGCCCCCUGGGCCAAUACUGACGCUCAUGCACGAAAGCGUGGGGAGCAAACAGGAUUAGAGACCCCCGUAGUCCCUGUCUCUUAUAC